rnacentral:rRNA from 1 species
AAUGAACGUUGGCGGCGUGGAUUAGGCAUGCAAGUCGCGCGAGAAAUUUCCUUCGGGAGAUGGACAGCGGCGAAAGGGAGAGGAAUACGUAGAAAUCUGCCCUCGAGCCUGGGAUAGCGGCGGGAAACUGCCGGUAAUACCAGAUAACGUCUUCGGACCAAAAGGUGUGAUUCCGCUUGAGGAUGAGUCUACGUCCUAUUAGCUAGUUGGUGGGGUAAUGGCCUACCAAGGCAACGAUGGUAGCGGGUGUGAGAGCACGAUCCGCCUCACUGGGACUGAGACACUGCCCAGACACCUACGGGUGCUGCAGUCGAGAAUCUUCGGCAAUGGGGGAAACCCUGACCGAGCGACGCCGCGUGC